AUUUAUAGCGCGGGCUGCGCGCGCGUCACGGAGCCCGGCCCGACUGACGGGGCCGCUGACGCGCUUGGCCGCGGGGCCGAGUCCGCGGGGCUGCGCGCCGGGCGCCGGCGACAAUGGGGUUCUGUGUGUGCAGCUGCCGUCGCCGCUGGGGGCCGGGGGAGGGGGGCGGGCAGCCGCUCCCCUACCCCCCUUCCUCUCGCCCGCGACCCCCCGAAAGGUAACCGGCCUCUUCUGCCCCUGGCCGGGCCCCGCCAGCUGCUUUCUCUUUUCUUUUUAUAAAAUUUAAUCAGUAAGUUUCCCUCGCCCCAACCGCUUCCAUUCCCCCCCCCCCCCCACCCCGCUUUCCCUUCUGGCCCCGCAACAUGACGAGACAGGGGGCUUUAGCCGGCCGGGGGCGACCGCUUUGUGCGUCCCGGGGAGCGGGACCCGCCCAAGGCGCGCCCAGCGGGGGACGCGGUGACCGAGGGGCCGGGAGCGCCGGGCAGGAAGCCAACCUGGGUGUGUGGCGCGAGAAGCGAAAGAGAAACUUCUGCGUGACUAGCUGAGGCUCCUUCGAGAGGCCAGGACGCUAGAGGCCCCCACCCCCCACCGCCGCCGCCCCUCCCCCUCCCGCUCCUCCUCCUCGCCGGGGACUUGGGAGCCCUCCCCUCGCCCUCCCCGCCCCCGCCCCGCGGAAGGAGGGGCUGGCGAGGAUUUUAGGGACUUCCUGGGACACGGAGACCGGCUCUGAACCAUCCCCUUUCAGCCGUCGGGAGCUGGGCAAUCUAGCUCUGGAGCCUCUCGCACGUGGCAGGCAGGCAGAGAACUUGCUGUGCCUUCUAGGAAAUUGCAAUCGAUUUGUAAUGCAGUUUCGCUAAUUGGGAGUUCAAAAUUAAACUUUAAUAAAGCA